GACGAACGCUGGCGGCGUGCCUAAUACAUGCAAGUAGAACGCUGAAGGAGGAGCUUGCUUCUCUGGAUGAGUUGCGAACGGGUGAGUAACGCGUAGGUAACCUGCCUGGUAGCGGGGGAUAACUAUUGGAAACGAUAGCUAAUAACGCAUACUAUUGACUAUUGCAUGAUAGUCAGUUGAAAGGUGCAACUGCACCACUACCAGAUGGACCUUCGUUGUAUUAGCUAGUUGGUGGGGUAACGGCUCACCAAGGCGACGAUACAUAGCCGACCUGAGAGGGUGAUCGGCCACAGUGGGACGGAGACACGGCCCAGAAUCCUUCGGGAGGGCGCAGGAGGGAAUCUUCGGAAAUGGACGGAAGUCUGGCCGAGCAACGCCGCGUGAGUGAAGAAGGUUUUCGGAUCGUAAAGCUCUGUUGUAAGAGAAGGACGAGUGUGAGAGUGGAAAGCUCACACUGUGACGGUAUCUUACCAGAAAGGGACGGCUAACUACGUG
rnacentral:rRNA from 1 species